UACGUAGGUGGCGAGCGUUAAUCGGAAUUAUUGGGCGUAAAGCGUGCGCAGGCGGUUCUUUAAGUCAGAUGUGAAAGCCCCGGGCUUAACCUGGGAAUGGCAUUUGGGACUGCAAGGCUAGAGUGUGGCAGAGGAGACUGGAAUUCCUGGUGUAGCAGUGAAAUGCGUAGAUAUCAGGAGGAAUACCGAUGGCGAAGGCAGGUCUCUGGGCUAACACUGACGCUCAUGCACGAAAGCGUGGGGAGCGAACAGG
rnacentral:rRNA from 1 species